UGGGGAAUAUUGCACAAUGGAGGGAACUCUGAUGCAGCGACGCCGCGUGAACGAAGAAGGCUUUCGAGUCGUAAAGUUCUUUUAUAUGGGAAGAUAAUGACGGUACCAUAAGAAAAAGCCCCGGCUAACUACGUGCCAGCAGCCGCGGUAAUACGUAGGGGGCUAGCGUUAUCCGGAAUCACUGGGCGUAAAGGGUUCGCAGGCGGAAAUGCAAGUCAGGUGUAAAAGGCAGUAGCUUAACUACUGUAAGCAUUUGAAACUGCAUAUCUUGAGAAGAGUAGAGGUAAGUGGAAUUUUUAGUGUAGCGGUGAAAUGCGUAGAUAUUAAAAAGAAUACCGGUGGCGAAGGCGACUUACUGGGCUCAUUCUGUCGCUGAGGAACGAAAGCGUGGGUAGCAAACAGG
rnacentral:rRNA from 1 species